AAACAGUGAUACAUGCACACGAAACUAUGAAAUAAAAACAUCAGACAUCAUACUGCAUUUAAAAUUGUAAAAUAGAACAAACAACAACUGACCGACAAAUUUCACUAGACUCGGGCUCCAUUAGCAACCUUAAACAAUUUCACACAGCUAUUGAUUCAUGAAAUACCAUUUUAUCAUUUAUUGCACUUUAAUACCAUGAUAGAAAAUAGGGUGAGGAAUCCUUACUUGUUUUCGGGACCCGAAAUAGGCUUUUUCGAGCGCCUGCGGGUUAUCCUUAAAUUUCCGUGAAUUUUUUUUCGAAAAGCUG
rnacentral:lncRNA from 1 species